UAAUACUAGCGGUCCAAGUCGCAGCCAUUUUUAUUGGGUCUAAAACAUCCGUAGCUUGCUUGGUAAGUUUCUUGUGAAAUUUCACAUCUCAAAUGUGAAGCGUGCAAGAAGUACUGCCUAGCUAGAGACCGGAAGACGUAAGAAGUACGUUCGAAGUAGUGGUAAAAUAUGUUAAUCUCGAACGGACUCACAAUAGCGAAGGCAUCUUACGAGGACGGUUCUGACAGUAAGGGAUGAAGGCUAGGGGCGCAAAACGGAUUAGAUACCCGUGUAGUCCUAGCAGUAAACACUGCACACUAAACAUCAGUACCUCUUCGAGAGGUAUUGGUGCUGAAGGGAAGCCGAAGAGUGUGCUACCUGGGAAGUAUAGUCGCAAGGCCG
rnacentral:rRNA from 1 species